rnacentral:siRNA from 1 species
AUCAAUUUUAAGGUUAAUGGU